GAUCAUGAUUAUCUGCAUCUUUCCGUACCACAGUCUCGUCUGAUCUCAGAAGCUAAGCAGGGUUCGUCCUGGUUAGUACUUGGAUGGGAAACCACUGGGAAUACCCAACAAGCCUGAUGC
rnacentral:rRNA from 1 species